GCAUGUAUCUGUUGGGGUAUUCGGUUAAUUCACAAUGAUUAUGUUUUUAAUAAUAGAGUUGUAUCUUGUCCUAACGUGGUGGUGCAUCAGUCACUUAUCUUCAUGCACUUAUCUUCAUGCAGACAUGGAGCAUACUUCUUAAGGCGAAACAAAAAUAUUGGGCUGUGAACAUGCUGGAAAAAUUGUCAACACAUUUGUAAUGAAGCGGCCUAGGCUAGUGUUGUAGUGCUUUCUCUAAUAAAGCUUUUGAGUGCCUUUGUGUUGGGGCUAGUUUCUCUCAGUUUUCUGUUUUUUUUUGUCACUUUGGAAGAAACCU
rnacentral:lncRNA from 1 species